GAUGAACGCUGGCGGCGUGCCUAACACAUGCAAGUCGAGCGAGAUGUAUAUGGACGAAACUUCGGUCUAGGAAAUAUAUUGACAGCGGCGGACGGGUGAGUAACGCGUAGGCAACCUGCCCCAAACACAGGGAUAGCCUCGGGAAACCGGGAUUAAAACCUGAUAAUGCCAAAUAGUCACAUGGCUGUUUGGCCAAAGAUUUAUCGGUUUGGGAUGGGCCUGCGUCUGAUUAGUUUGUUGGUGGGGUAACGGCCUACCAAGACUACGAUCAGUAGCCGACCUGGGAGGGUGAUCGGCCACAUUGGAACUGAGACACGGUCCAAACUCCUACGGGAGGCAGCAGUGGGGAAUAUUGCACAAUGGGCGAAAGCCUGAUGCAGCAACGCCGCGUGAGCGAUGAAGGCCUUUGGGUCGUAAAGCUCUGUCCUUGGGGAAGAAACAAAUGACGGUACCCAAGGAGGAAGCCCCGGCUAACUACGUGCCAGCAGCCGCCGUAA
rnacentral:rRNA from 1 species